rnacentral:lncRNA from 1 species
AUGGCCAGCAGUGUCAAAACCUUGCUGUGGAGGGGAACAACACCCGCUGCCCUCCUCUUCCACCCAGCCAGCCACCUCACUGUGCAGGCUGUCAGGCCAGCUAAGCUCAGUGUCCCUGUUGGAAGUCCACACUGCCCACUCCUUAUCAUGUUUUUCUUCGCCAGGUGCUUGGAAAUUGUUUCCAGGAGGAAAUGGGAUUGGGAGCCCCGAGUCCUGGGUCCCCACAGCAUCGUCCAGGGGCUCCCACCUGAUUCUCCAGCAGAUGCUCACCUGGGACAAAAGGGAGACCAUGGGGGACAGGGAUGGGGUCAGGGUGCGGGGUUAUCCCCUGCCACCACAGGAGCCAGGAGAGGUAAGGAGACCCCAGCACCCAUCUCCCCUUGCCCUCAAGCCCACCCAGGGCUGCAGCACGGCUGCAUGCGCCCGGUGCUGCACGUGGCCGGGGACACAGGGCCAGCAGGGACACGGGGCCGGCAGGGACACGGGCCGGACUCUGGCCCUGUGAUGUGGGGUCAGCGGGGCGGGGGCACCCAGGCCACUUCCCCCAGUGGAUGCCAGCGGUGGGCCCACGUCAGAGGUGGCCCCACGAGGCGAUGGCUCGCGACGGCCCAGCCCCGAGCCACUGACCCGUGCCCUGGCCACACACAAGCCAAGUGCUGGACACGGGUGGGCUCCCUGCCAGCCCCCCGGCCGGACACCCCGGCUUCCUGCGCUGCGCUGACCCGCUGCCCCCAGCCGGCUCUGCCCGCUGGGCCGCGGUUCCUGCUGGGCAAGGGUCGCCCGAACAUGGGAAGCGCUGGGCAGCUGCGGGGCACCGGGCACGGCCUCGAGGGGGGCACCGAGCAAUGGGGCAGCGCUCACGCACGUGUCCCCGUGCACGAGGAAGCAGGAAGCGUGCAACAGCGGCGUGCAAGGACGUGCACACACACACACACUGAGCCCCGCACCCCACGGCAAAGCAGCGGGUGGGGGGGUUGGGGCCAGCCCCGGGCACCCCGGGGGGCUCCGGGGGGCGGCCACAGCCAGCACCGGGGGGGGGACACGGCGGGCCCGGGGUGGCCGGGGGCUGCUGCCCGGCGGGCUCCGUGCACGGGAGCCUCACGGCGGUGCCGGGCGGAGCUGGGGCAAGCCCGGUGCCGUGCCCGGUGCCGUGCCCGGGGCCCGGAUCGCGCCCGGUGCCGGUGCCGGGUCGGGGCCGCGCCAGAACCGGGCGGCGCCCACGUGGAGCGCAACGCGCGCUGCCCGCCGAGCGGCGCGCCAAGAGUUCCCCAGCGGCUCCCGGCCGUUGGCUGCCGGCAGCCAAUAGCGGCUCGGCCCCGCCCUCCCGGCGGCCAACGGGCGAAUGGGAGCGCCGGGAGGCUCCUGACGUCACGGGGUUAA